UUCCGGUUGUACCUGCCGGACCCGACUGCUAUCGGGGUGGGACUAAGCCAUGCGAGUCAGCGCCCCUAGCCACGGUGGGGCGCGGCGUACGGCUCCGUAAAACACGGCUAACCUACCCUCAGGACAGGGAUAACCUCGGGAAACUGAGGCUAAUCCCUGAUAGAUGAGGGACCCUGGAACGCUCCCUCAUCUAAAGGAUCCCAAGACCAUGCUCUUGGGAUCGCCUGAGGAUGGGGCCGUGGCCUAUCAGGUUGACGGUGAGGUAACGGCUCACCGUGCCUAUAACGGGUACGGGCCGUGAGAGCGGGAGCCCGGAGAUGGGCACUGAGACAAGGGCCCAGGCCCUACGGGGCGCAGCAGGCGCGAAACCUCCGCAAUGCGCUAACGCGCGACGGGGUCACCCCGAGUGCCAGCCGCUGAGGCUGGCUUUUCCCCAGUGUAAAAAGCUGGGGGAAUAAGCGGGGGGCAAGUUCUGGUGUCAGCCGCCGCGGUAAUACCAGCUCCGCGAGUGGUCGGGGCGUUUAUUGGGCCUAAAGCGUCCGUAGCCGGCCCAGUAAGUUCCUCCUUAAAUCCCAUGGCUCAACCAUGGGGCUGGGAGGAAUACUACUGGGCUAGGGGGCGGGAGAGGCCGAGGGUAUUCCCGGGGUAGGGGCGAAAUCCUAUAAUCCCGGGAAGACCACCAAUGGCGGAGGCACUCGGCCAGAACGCGCCCGACGGUGAGGGACGAAAGCCAGGGGAGCAAAAGGGAUUAGAGACCCCUGUAGUCCUGGCUGUAAACGAUGCGGGCUAGGUGUUGGUGAGCUUCGGGCUCAGCCAGUGCCGCAGGGAAGCCGUUAAGCCCGCCGCUUGGGGAGUNCGGCCGCAAAGGCUGAAACUUAAAGGAAUUGGCGGGGGAGCACCUCAAAGGGGUGGAGGCUGCGGUUCAAUUGGAGUCAACCCCGGGAACCUUACCAGGGGCGACAGCAGGAUGAGGGCCAGGCUAACGACCUUGCCCGACGCGCUGAGAGGAGGUGCAUGGCCGUCGCCAGCUCGUGCCGUGAGGCGUCCGGUUAAGUCCGGUAACGAGCGAGACCCUCGUCUCCAGUUGCGACCAGGACCCAUUGGGUCCUGGGCACACUGGAGAGACUGCCAGCGCUAAGCUGGAGGAAGGAGGGGGCUACGGCAGGUCAGUAUGCCCCGAAACCCCUGGGCUACACGCGGCCUGCAAUGGUGGGGACAAUGGGUUCCGAACCCGAAAGGGGGAGGUAAUCCCAUAAAACCCCACCUCAGUUGGGAUCGAGGGCUGCAACUCGCCCUCGUGAACGUGGAAUCCCUAGUAACCGCGUGUCAUCAUCGCGCGGUGAAUACGUCCCUGCUCCUUGUACACACCGCCCGUC
rnacentral:rRNA from 1 species